AUUGAACGCUGGCGGCAGGCCUAACACAUGCAAGUCGAGCGGAUGAAGGGAGCUUGCUCCUGGAUUCAGCGGCGGACGGGUGAGUAAUGCAUAGGAAUCUGCCUGGUAGUGGGGGAUAACGUCCGGAAACGGGCGCUAAUACCGCAUACGUCCUGAGGGUGAAAGUGGGGGAUCUUCGGACCUCACGCUAUCUGCUGUGCCUAGGUCGGAUUAGCUAGUUGGUUGGGUAAAGGCCUACCAAGGCGACGAUCCGUAACUGGUCUGAGAGGCUGAUCAGUCACACUGGAACUGAGACACGGUCCAGACUCCUACGGGAGGCAGCAGUGGGGAAUAUUGGACAAUGGGCGAAAGCCUGAUCCAGCCAUGCCGCGUGUGUGAAGAAGGUCUUCGGAUUGUAAAGCACUUUUAGUUGGGAGGAAGAGCAGUAAGUUAAUACCUUGCUGUUUUGACGUUACCAACAGAAUAAGCACCGGCUAACUUCGUG
rnacentral:rRNA from 1 species